rnacentral:rRNA from 1 species
AACGAACGCUGGCGGCAGGCUUAACACAUGCAAGUCGAGCGCAUCCUUCGGGGUGAGCGGCGGACGGGUGAGUAACGCGUGGGAACGUGCCCUCUUCUACGGAAUAGCCUCGGGAAACUGAGAGUAAUGCCGUAUACGCCCGCAAGGGGAAAGAUUUAUCGGAGGAGGAUCGGCCCGCGUUGGAUUAGGUAGUUGGUGGGGUAACGGCCUACCAAGCCGACGAUCCAUAGCUGGUUUGAGAGGAUGAUCAGCCACACUGGGACUGAGACACUGCCCAGACUCCUACGGGAGGCAGCAGUGGGGAAUCUUGGACAAUGGGGGCAACCCUGAUCCAGCCAUGCCGCGUGAUCGAUGAAGGCCUUAGGGUUGUAAAGAUCUUUCAGCUGGGAAGAUAAUGACGGUACCAGCAGAAGAAGCCCCGGCUAACUCCGUG